CGGGACGGGUGAGUAAUGUCUGGGAAACUGCCUGAUGGAGGGGGAUAACUGCUGGAAACGGUAGCUAAUACCGCAUAACGUCGCAAGACCAAAGAGGGGGACCUUCGGGCCUCUUGCCAUCGGAUGUGCCCAGAUGGGAUUAGCUAGUAGGUGGGGUAACGGCUCACCUAGGCGACGAUCCCUAGCUGGUCUGAGAGGAUGACCAGCCACACUGGAACCGAGACACGGUCCAG
rnacentral:rRNA from 1 species